AGAUACUACCAUGUAACUCUGAAGACAUCCAGUCUCAUCUGAUUUUGGAAUCUAAAUAGGGCUGGGCCUGGUUGGUACCUGGAAAGGAGACUAUCAGGAUAGACCAGGAAUCUC
rnacentral:rRNA from 1 species